GUGGGGAAUAUUGGACAAUGGGCGAAAGCCUGAUCCAGCCAUGCCGCGUGUGUGAAGAAGGUCUUCGGAUUGUAAAGCACUUUAAGUUGGGAGGAAGGGCAGUAAGUUAAUACCUUGCUGUUUUGACGUUACCGACAGAAUAAGCACCGGCUAACUUCGUGUCAGCAGCCGCGGUAAUACGAAGGGUGCAAGCGUUAAUCGGAAUUACUGGGCGUAAAGCGCGCGUAGGUGGUUUUGUAAGUUGGAGGUGAAAUCCCCGGGCUCAACCUGGGAACUGCCUCCAAAACUGCAUGACUAGAGUACGGUAGAGGGUAGUGGAAUUUCCUGUGUAGCGGUGAAAUGCGUAGAUAUAGGAAGGAACACCAGUGGCGAAGGCGACUACCUGGACUGAUACUGGCACUGAGGUGCGAAAGCGUGGGGAGCAAACAGGAUUAGAAACCCUUGUAGUCC
rnacentral:rRNA from 1 species